CAGUGAAAUAGUUUUUUUUUCCUCCCUCCCUUUCUUUCCUAUAGUUAAUUUCUUUUGUAUUUAAUAGUGGUAUGUUAUGGUAGUUUUGAAAUUAUUCUUAUGAUCUUACUUUCCUCUUACUCAACAGUUAUAUUGAUGCAAAAUUGACAAAUUUAGUUUAUUUCUUCAUGGCAGAUUCGCGGGGUUAAGAAUUUAAUCAUGUAUUCACUCCCAGAGAGGAAG
rnacentral:lncRNA from 1 species